GGCGCUGCGCGUGCUACCAUGCAGUCGUACGCGAAAGUCCCUUCGGGGAUGAGUAAAGUGGCGCACGGGUGAGUAACGCGUGGAUUAUCUACCUGCAUCACCGGAAUAACGGUUGGAAACGACUGCUAAUGCCGGAUAGUCUCGAAAGGGUAAAGGGGGCCUCUGCUUGCAAGCUUCCGGGUGCUGAUGAGUCCGCGUCUGAUUAGCUAGUUGGUGAGGUAAUGGCUCACCAAGGCAACGAUCAGUAGCAGGUUUGAGAGGAUGACCUGCCACACUGGGACUGGAACACGGCCCAGACUCCUACGGGAGGCAGCAGUGGGGAAUAUUGCGCAAUGGGCGAAAGCCUGACGCAGCGACGCCGCGUGGAGGAUGAAGGCCUUCGGGUCGUAAACUCCUGUCAAGAGGGAAGAACCGUAUGCGGAAUAAUACGCCGCAUGCCUGACGGUACCUCUAGAGGAAGCACCGGCUAACUCCGUGCCAGCAGCCGCGGUAAUACGGAGGGUGCAAGCGUUAAUCGGAAUCACUGGGCGUAAAGCGCGCGUAGGCGGCUUGGUAAGUCAGGUGUGAAAGCCCCCGGCCCAACCGGGGAAUUGCACUUGAUACUGCUAGGCUAGAGUUCAGGAGAGGGUGGCGGAAUUCCAGGUGUAGGAGUGAAAUCCGUAGAUAUCUGGAGGAACACCGGUGGCGAAGGCGGCCACCUGGACUGACACUGACGCUGAGGUGCGAAAGCGUGGGUAGCAAACAGGAUUAGAUACCCUGGUAGUCCACGCCGUAAACGAUGGAUACUAGGUGUCGGGGACUUGAUCCUCGGUGCCGUAGCUAACGCGUUAAGUAUCCCGCCUGGGGAGUACGGUCGCAAGGCUGAAACUCAAAGAAAUUGACGGGGGCCCGCACAAGCGGUGGAAUAUGUGGUUUAAUUCGAUGCAACGCGAAAAACCUUACCUAGGCUUGACUUCCGGAGAAACCC
rnacentral:rRNA from 1 species